rnacentral:rRNA from 1 species
GAUGAACGCUGGUGGCGUGCCUAAUACAUGCAAGUCGAGCGAACAGACGAGGAGCUUGCUCCUCUGACGUUAGCGGCGGACGGGUGAGUAACACGUGGAUAACCUACCUAUAAGACUGGGAUAACUUCGGGAAACCGGAGCUAAUACCGGAUAAUAUAUUGAACCGCAUGGUUCAAUAGUGAAAGACGGUUUUGCUGUCACUUAUAGAUGGAUCCGCGCCGCAUUAGCUAGUUGGUAAGGUAACGGCUUACCAAGGCAACGAUGCGUAGCCGACCUGAGAGGGUGAUCGGCCACACUGGAACUGAGACACGGUCCAGACUCCUACGGGAGGCAGCAGUAGGGAAUCUUCCGCAAAGGGCGAAAGCCUGACGGAGCAACGCCGCGUGAGUGAUGAAGGUCUUCGGAUCGUAAAACUCUGUUAUUAGGGAAGAACAAAUGUGUAAGUAACUAUGCACGUCUUGACGGUACCUAAUCAGAAAGCCACGGCUAACUACGUG